rnacentral:misc_RNA from 1 species
GACAGAGGGUGCAAGCGUUGUUCGGAAUUAUUGGGCGUAAAGCGCGCGUAGGCGGUUUGUUAAGCCGGAUGUGAAAUCCCGGGGCUCAACCCCGGAAGUGCAUUCGGAACUGGCAAGCUAGAGUCCCGGAGAGGGUAGCAGAAUUCCUGGUGUAGAGGUGAAAUUCGUAGAUAUCAGGAGGAAUACCUGUGGCGAAGGCGGCUACCUGGACGGUGACUGACGCUGAGGUGCGAAAGCGUGGGGAGCAAACAGG